rnacentral:rRNA from 1 species
AGACGUCUACAUUAGAUACCCCCGUAGUCCCAGCCGUAAACUAUGCUCGCUAGGUGUCAGGCAUGGCGCGACCGUGUCUGGUGCCGCAGGGAAGCCGUGAAGCGAGCCACCUGGGAAGUACGGCCGCAAGGCUGAAACUUAAAGGAAUUGGCGGGGGAGCACCGCAACGGGAGGAGCGUGCGGUUUAAUUGGAUUCAACACCGUAAACUCACCAGGGAAGACUGUUACAUGAAGGCCGAGAUGAAGACUCUGCUAGAUUUUCAG